rnacentral:rRNA from 1 species
UGGGGAAUUUUGGACAAUGGGGGCAACCCUGAUCCAGCCAUCCCGCGUGUGCGAUGAAGGCCUUCGGGUUGUAAACCACUUUUGGCGGGGAAGAAACGUCAUGGAUUAAUACCCCGAGAAACUGCCGGUACCUGCCGAGUAAGCACCGGCUAACUACGUGCCAGCAGCCGCGGUAAUACGUAGGGUGCAAGCGUUAAUCGGAAUUACUGGGCGUAAAGAGUGCGCAGGCGGUUCGAAAAGAAAGAUGUGAAACCCCGGAGCUCAACUUUGGAACUGCAUUUGAAACUACCGGGCUAGAGUGUGGGAGAGGAAGGCGGAAUUCCGCGUGUAGCAGUGAAAUGCGUAGAUAUGCGGAGGAACACCGAUGGCGAAGGCAGCCUUCUGGGAUAACACUGACGCUGAGGCGCGAAAGCGUGGGGAGCAAACAGG